UGGGGAAUUUUGGACAAUGGGCGCAAGCCUGAUCCAGCAAUGCCGCGUGCAGGAAGAAGGCCUUCGGGUUGUAAACUGCUUUUGUCAGGGAAGAAAUCUUCUGGGCUAAUACCCCGGGAGGAUGACGGUACCUGAAGAAUAAGCACCGGCUAACUACGUGCCAGCAGCCGCGGUAAUACGUAGGGUGCGAGCGUUAAUCGGAAUUACUGGGCGUAAAGCGUGCGCAGGCGGUUAUGUAAGACAGAUGUGAAAUCCCCGGGCUCAACCUGGGAACUGCAUUUUGUGACUGCAUGACUGGAGUGCGGCANAGGGGGAUGGAAUUCCGCGUNUAGCAGUGAAAUGCGUNGAUAUGCGGAGGAACACCGAUGGCGAAGGCAAUCCCCUGGGCCUGCACUGACGCUCAUGCACGAAAGCGUGGGAAGCAAACAGGAUUAGUACCCUGGUAGUCCACGCCUAAACGAUGUCACUGGUUGUUGGACGGCUUGCUGUUCANAACGAAGCUAACGCGUGAAGUUGCCGCCU
rnacentral:rRNA from 1 species